rnacentral:tmRNA from 1 species
GGGGCUGAUUCUGGAUUCGACGGGAUUUGCGAAACCCAAGGUGCAUGCCGAGGGGCGGUUGGCCUCGUAAAAAGCCGCAAAAAAUAGUCGCAAACGACGAAAACUACGCUUUAGCAGCUUAAUAACCUGCUUAGAGCCCUCUCUCCCUAGCCUCCACUCUUAGGACGGGGAUCAAGAGAGGUCAAACCCAAAAGAGAUCGCGUGGAAGCCCUGCCUGGGGUUGAAGCGUUAAAACUUAAUCAGGCUAGUUUGUUAGUGGCGUGUCCGUCCGCAGCUGGCAAGCGAAUGUAAAGACUGACUAAGCAUGUAGUACCGAGGACGUAGGAAUUUCGGACGCGGGUUCAACUCCCGCCAGCUCCACCA